CGAGUCGGCUGUGCGGCUGCGGGGGCGAAAGCCAACGAGGAAAGUCCGAGCUUCACAAAGCAGGGUGACGGAUAACGUCCGCCGAAGGUGACUUCAGGGAAAGUGCAACAGAAAUGUACCGCCGCUUUUGCGGUAAGGUUGAAAGGGCGAGGUAAGAGCUCACCGACCCCUCGGUAACGCGGGGUGCAAUGUAAACCCCACCCGAAGCAAGAUAGGAACGCGCCGAUAUGCGGUCGCUUGCCGCGGCGCGCUCGCAAACAGUCGCUUGAACUUUACGGUAACGUAAAGUCUAGAUAGAUAGCCGCAUUAAAUGACAGAACUCGGCUUACAGGCAGACUCGCUUU
rnacentral:RNase_P_RNA from 1 species